rnacentral:tRNA from 1 species
GGGCCGGUGGCGAAAUGGCAGCCGCAGGAGACUUAAAAUCUCCCGUUCGAGAGAACGUGAAGGUUCGAGUCCUUUCCGGCCCA